rnacentral:rRNA from 1 species
AUACGGAGGGUGCAAGCGUUACUCGGAAUCACUGGGCGUAAAGGACGCGUAGGCGGGAUAGUAAGUCUGAUGUGAAAUCCUAUGGCUCAACCAUAGAACUGCAUUGGAAACUACUGACCUAGAGUAUGGGAGGGGGAGAUGGAAUUAGUAGUGUAGGGGUAAAAUCCGUAGAUAUUACUAGGAAUACCGAAAGCGAAGGCGAUCUCCUGGAACAAUACUGACGCUAAGGCGUAAAAGCGUGGGGAGCAAACAGGAUUAGAUACCCUAGUAGUCC